ACCUGGUUGUAACCUGGUAAUAACUAGGUUAUAACCUGGUUAUAUCCUGAGACAUUACCUGGUUAUAACCUGGUUAUUACCAGGUUAUAACUAGGA